rnacentral:rRNA from 1 species
UUAAACUAGGGAUUAGAUACCCUAUUAUUAAAAUUUAAAUUAGUAAUACUAAAAUAGUAGAUAAUUAUUUAUUGAAACUUAAAUAAUUUGGCGGUAUUUUAGUUCAUUUAGAGGAAUCUGUUUAAUAAUUGAUAAUCCACGAAUAAAUUUACUUAAUUUAUUAUUUUGUAUAUCGUUGUUAAAAAAAUAUUUUUCAAUAAUAAUAAUAUUUAAAAAUUUUAAUUAAAAAUUAAAUCAGAUCAAGAUGCAGAUUAUAAUUAAGAAUAUAAUGGAUUACAAUAAAUUUAUUUAAAUGAAUAUUAAUUUGUAAAAUUUAAUUGAAGGUGGAUUUAAAUGUAA